AGUGAACGCUGGCGGUAGGCCUAACACAUGCAAGUCGAACGGCAGCACAGUAAGAGCUUGCUCUUACGGGUGGCGAGUGGCGGACGGGUGAGGAAUACAUCGGAAUCUACUUUUUCGUGGGGGAUAACGUAGGGAAACUUACGCUAAUACCGCAUACGACCUACGGGUGAAAUCAGGGGAUCUUCGGACCUUGCGCGAUUGAAUUAGCCGAUGUCGGAUUAGCUAGUUGGCGGGGUAAAGGCCCACCAAGGCGACGAUCCGUAGCUGGUCUGAGAGGAUGAUCAGCCACACUGGAACUGAGACACGGUCCAGACUCCUACGGGAGGCAGCAGUGGGUAAUAUUGGACAAUGGGCGCAAGCCUGAUCCAGCCAUACCGCGUGGGUGAAGAAGGCCUUCGGGUUGUAAAGCCCUUUUGUUGGGAAAGAAAAGCAGCAGGUUAAUACCCCGCUGUUCUGACGGUACCCAAAGAAUAAGCACCGGCUAACUUCGUG
rnacentral:rRNA from 1 species